rnacentral:rRNA from 1 species
AGGACGAACGCUGGCGGCGUGCUUAACACAUGCAAGUCGAGCGGUAAGGCUCCUUCGGGAGUACACGAGCGGCGAACGGGUGAGUAACACGUGAGCAAUCUGCCCUUCACUUCGGGAUAACUCCGGGAAACCGGUGCUAAUACCGAAUACGACCACUUCAGGCAUCUGAUGGUGGUGGAAAGUUCCGGCGGUGAAGGAUGAGCUCGCGGCCUAUCAGCUUGUUGGUGAGGUAAUGGCCCACCAAGGCAACGACGGGUAGCCGGCCUGAGAGGGUGACCGGCCACACUGGGACUGAGACACGGCCCAGACUCCUACGGGAGGCAGCAGUGGGGAAUAUUGGACAAUGGGCGAAAGCCUGAUGCAGCGACGUCGCGUGAAGGAUGAAAUCUUUCGGGAUGUAAACUUCUUUAUCAGCCAUGAAACAAAUGACAGUAGCUGAUGAAUAAGCCCCGGCUAACUACGUGCCAGCAGCCGC